GCACGGUGGAGUGUGGAGGCUGAAACCAGCUCUAAAGAAGUAUGCCUGUGAACUCACACUGGACCCAAACAAGGCCAACAGACGACUCUCUCUGUCUGAGGACAACAGAAAGGUGACGGGGUUUGGAGAGGAUCAGUCGUGUCCGGAUCACCCAGAGAGAUUUGCCCUCCGGCCCCAGGUGUUGUGUAGAGAGGCUCUGACUGGCCACUGUUACUGGGAGGUAGAGAGGGAAGGACGUGCUCUGCUAGGAGUGACAUACAGAGGAAUCACAAGGAGAGGAGAGGGUGUUGACAGCUUGCUUGGAAGGAACAACAAGUCCUGGAUUCUUGUUUGUCAUGAUGAUAGUUACUUUGCCUGGUACAACGGUAGAGGAACAGACAUAGUUCUCCCUUCCUCUGGUUCUCACCAGAGUAGGAGUGUAUCUGGACCGGCCUGCUGGCUCUCUGUCCUUCUACAGAGUGUCCCCAGGUGGAGGAGGGUCCUCAGACACACUGACACACAUCCACACCUUCCAUUCCUCCUUCACCCAGGAGGACCUCCUCCCUGCGUUUGGGUUCCCUGUGCUCUCUUCAACUGUAGGUUCCUCAGUGUCUCUGUGUCAGUUAUAGUCCCUCUCCUCUCUCUCUCCCCCCCCCCCCCCCCCAGUCGGAGGACGCACGCAGAUAUUAACCCACACGCAUAUAUUAACCCACACGCAUAUAUUAACACACACACAUAUAUUAACACAAAUGUGCCCACACAUGAACACA